GCUCAACCGGGGAGGGUCAUUGGAAACUGGGGAACUUGAGUGCAGAAGAGGAGAGUGGAAUUCCACGUGUAGCGGUGAAAUGCGUAGAGAUGUGGAGGAACACCAGUGGCGAAGGCGACUCUCUGGUCUGUAACUGACGCUGAGGCGCGAAAGCGUGGGGAGCGAACAGGAUUAGAUACCCUGGUAGUCCACGCCGUAAACGAUGAGUGCUAAGUGUUAGAGGGUUUCCGCCCUUUAGUGCUGCAGCAAACGCAUUAAGCACUCCGCCUGGGGAGUACGGUCGCAAGACUGAAACUCAAAGGAAUUGACGGGGGCCCGCACAAGCGGUGGAGCAUGUGGUUUAAUUCGAAGCAACGCGAAGAACCUUACCAGGUCUUGACAUCCUCUGACAACCCUAGAGAUAGGGCUUCCCCUUCGGGGGCAGAGUGACAGGUGGUGCAUGGUUGUCGUCAGCUCGUGUCGUGAGAUGUUGGGUUAAGUCCCGCAACGAGCGCAACCCUUGAUCUUAGUUGCCAGCAUUCAGUUGGGCACUCUAAGGUGGCUGCCGGUGACAAACCGGAGGAAGGUGGGGAUGACGUCAAAUCAUCAUGCCCCUUAUGACCUGGGCUACACACGUGCUACAAUGGGCAGAACAAAG
rnacentral:rRNA from 1 species